AAGUCGUAACAAGGUUUCCUUCACCUAUUGAAGCCUUCAGCAGCGACUGUAAAGAAAUGCGUAGUUUGCUUGCAAGCAAUGCCACUCAAAUGCUGAGACAUAUGAAUCAGCAGCCUUUUAGGCUCACAGAUCAAAUUGUGGUAACCAUUCUUAUGGGCAAGAUAUGACCGGUCUUAGCUAGAGUUAGUUAAGAAUCCACGUUCCGUAGGUGAACCUGCGGAAGGAUCAUUACUGGGUAAAGGCCUCGCGCCUCCAACCCCACCCUCCGUAACCGCGGCCCGGAUUCGGCGCUCGGCGGGG
rnacentral:misc_RNA from 1 species